CUACGGAGGGAGCAAGCGUUAUUCGGAAUCACUGGGCGUAAAGGACGCGUAGGCGGGAAGCCAAGUCUGAUGGGAAAUCCUAUGGCUUAACCAUAGAACUGCAUUGGAAACUGGUUACCUAGAGUAUGGGAGGGGGAGAUGGAAUUAGUGGUGUAGGGGUAAAAUCCGUAGAUAUCACUAGGAAUACCGAAAGCGAAGGCGAUCUCCUGGAACAAUACUGACGCUAAGGCGUGAAAGCGUGGGGAGCAAACGGGAUUAGAAACCCCAGUAGUCC
rnacentral:rRNA from 1 species